GAUGAAGAACGUAGCGAAAUGCGAUAAGUAAUGUGAAUUGCAGAAUUCAGUGAAUCAUCGAAUCUUUGAACGCACAUUGCGCCCGCUAGUAUUGUGGCGGGCAUGCCUGUCCGAGCGUCAUUUCAACCCUCAAGCCCCCGGGCUUGGUGUUGGGGAUCGGCGAGCCUCCGCGCCCGCCGUCCCCUAAAUCUAGUGGCGGUCUCGCUGUAGCUUCCUCUGCGUAGUAGCACACCUCGCACUGGGAAACAGCGCGGCCACGCCGUUAAACCCCCAACUUCUGAACGUUUGACCUCGGAUCAGGUAGGAAUACCCGCUGAACUUAAGCAUAUCAAUAAGCGGAGGA
rnacentral:misc_RNA from 1 species